rnacentral:rRNA from 1 species
CGGCUCAGUUAACACGUAGUCAACCUGCCCUGGAGACAAGGACAACCCCGGGAAACUGGGAUUAAUCCUUGAUAGGUCAUCUCAUCUGGAAGGAGAGAUGGCUUAAAGGGGUACGCGGGCUUCUUCCGCGAAUCUGCUCCAGGAUGGGACUGCGUCCGAUCAGGCUGUUGGCGGGGUAAUGGCCCACCAAACCUGUAACCGGUACGGGCCUUGAGAGAGGUGGCCCGGAGAUGGACACUGAGAGAAGGGUCCAGGUCCUACGGGGCGCAGCAGGCGCGAAACCUUCGCAAUGCGCGAAAGCGUGACGAGGUUAAUCCGAGUGACUCCCGCUGAGGGGGUCUUUUGUCAGCUGUAAAUAGGCAGGCGAAUAAGGGGAGGGCAAGCCUGGUGUCAGCCGCCGCGGUAAUACCAGCUCCUCGAGUGGUCGGGGCGAUUAUUGGGCCUAAAGCAUCCGUAGCCGGUUCCGUAGGUCCUCUGUUAAAUCCAACCGCUUAACGGUUGACCUGCAGAGGAUACCGCGGGACUAGGAGGCGGGAGAGGCGGACGGUACUCCGCGUGUAGGGGUAAAAUCCUUUGAUCCGCGGAAGACCACCA